AAAAAGGGUGUUUGCCGCUUCGAUGGCACGCGUGCCGGCAACGGAACGCGGAGUAUGGUCAUCAAGACAUACUCAACACGUAAUUUUUGUACUGGAGAGGCAGUUGGCUACCCUCAUGUACCGGCGCCUCC
rnacentral:snRNA from 1 species